UUUUAGCCCCGAUAAAAGUGGAAAUCCUUUUCCUUUUUUUUUAAGGAAAAGAUUAUAACGGAUAGCGGGAUUAGCU
rnacentral:sRNA from 1 species